GUGGGGAAUCUUCCGCAAUGGACGAAAGUCUGACGGAGCAACGUCGCGUGAGUGAAGAAGGUUUUCGGAUCGUAAAGCUCUUUCGUUAGGGACGAACGUGCUCUUUGUGAAUAAUGAGGAGUAAUGACGGUACCUAAAUAAGAAGCCACGGCUAACUACGUGCCAGCAGCCGCGGUAAUACGUAGGUGGCAAGCGUUGUCCGGAAUUAUUGGGCGUAAAGCGCGCGCAGGCGGGAUAUCAAGUCUGUCUUAAAAGUGCGAGGCUCAACCUCGUGAGGGGACAGAAACUGGUAUUCUUGAGUGUCGGAGAGGAAAGUGGAAUUCCAAGUGUAGCGGUGAAAUGCGUAGAGAUUUGGAAGAACACCAGUGGCGAAGGCGACUUUCUGGACGAUGUCUGACGCUGAGGCGCGAAAGCUAGGGGAGCGAACGGGAUUAGAAACCCGGGUAGUCC
rnacentral:rRNA from 1 species